AUGGCUGACCGGUUGGUCCUCCUCAACGUGGUGCUCUCCGCCUUCAUGGUUUAUUGGUUGUCCAUGUUCGAGCUGCCGCCUUGGGCGCGCGCCGAGAUCGACAGGCUACGCCGCGCAUGGCUCUGGAGGGGUGAGGAGUCCUGUCAUGGCGGCCAUUGCAAGGUCGCAUGGGGGAUUAUCUGUCGGCCGCGCCAGCUCGGCGGCCUCGGUGUGAUUGACUUGUUGUGCUUUGGUGCCGCCAUGCGCCUGCGAUGGUUGUGGCGGGAACGUGUCUCCCCGUCCAAGCCUUGGAUCGGCCUCCCGACGCCAUGCACGAUCGCUGACAGAGCCAUCUUUGCUGCGGCAACACGUGUGACCAUUGGUUGCGGUGAGCGUGCUCGCUUCUGGUAUGAUAGCUGGCUCGACGGUUGUGCGCCAUUCACCUUGGCGCCGGAACUGUUUGCGGUCUCCAGGCGCAAGUAUCGUUCAGUCCAGGAGGCGAUGCAGGGCGGGCGCUGGGUGUCCGAUCUCCGGGGAAGGAUCACCGCACAUACCCUGCCUGCCUUCGUGCGCCUCUGGUCCGCAAUCAGCCGGAUCGCACUGCGGCCAAACGAAUGUGACACUUUCUCGUGGAAGCCCAAUGAUAGUGGCUGCUUCACGGUGGCGUCCGCCUACAUGAUUCAGUUUCUUGGCUCUACAACCUCGCCGCUUUGGGCCUCGGUUUGGCAGGCUUGGGCGCCGGCGAAAUGCCGCCUUUUUGCCUGGCUCUUUGGUCAGAAUAGGAUCCUUACUGCCGACCGCCUGCUUGCCAGGAAAUGGCCGAACUCCUAUUUCUGCCCGCUCUGUCGCCGAAACUUGGAGACCGCCGACCACCUCCUGAUCACCUGCCCCUGGUCGCAGCAGCUCUGGGCACGGGCCGCCGACCGUUUCUGCUUGCCGGGUUUUCUUCCUGCUUCCUGGCCCCCUUGGACGUCCCUCCACGAGUGGCUCUCUAACCUCUCGGCAGAUGCGCCCUUGGCCAAGCGCAGCAAGUCGAUGGCGCUGAUGGUCCUAUGGUUCAUAUGGAGGGAACGGAAUGGCCGUAUCUUCAGGAGCAACGAGCAUUCGGUCUCUCAGGUGUUGGAUCAACUGCUCGACGAAGCUAGGCAAUGGGCGUUGGCUGGAGGCCGACACCUCUGCUGGGAGUAG
rnacentral:rRNA from 1 species